UACGGAGGGUGCAAGCGUUGUCCGGAUUCAUUGGGUUUAAAGGGUGCGUAGGCGGCUACUUAAGUCGGAUGUGAAAGCCCCUGGCUCAACUGGGGAAGUGCACCCGAAACUGAGUGGCUUGAGUACUAAAGAGGGUCGCGGAAUUCCCGGUGUAGAGGUGAAAUUCGUAGAUAUCGGGAGGAACACCGGUGGCGAAGGCGGCGACCUGGGUAGAUACUGACGCUGAGGCGCGAAAGCGUGGGGAGCAAACAGG
rnacentral:rRNA from 1 species